rnacentral:lncRNA from 1 species
ACUUCAUCCACCUUUGAGAGGAGAGAAAAAAGGCGGGCCUUUCUCUCUCGCUUCUCUCUCUACAAGGCCAAGACUGAUGGGGCGCCUGAGUGGGACGCCCGACUCGGGACCAUUCCGGAACAAAACGGGAGCUGAUGGGAUCUCCCCCAUUGUGACCCAAGCGUGUUCAUGCCCUCUCCGAAAUGGGACUGGUUUGGUGCGGGAGGAUGGGCAGGGACGGGGGAGGUGAUGACCGGCAGAGGAGGCCUGGGCAAGGGAGAGGAGCCACUUUUCUCCAGGGUCCAGCCCCGCGGGAAGGACACUGCCUCACCCCCGGGACCCGGGGAUUUCCAUCAGCCCCUGCUUCCGCUCAGGAGGGAUUGGACCUGCAGCAGCGCGAGGACUUCUCGACUCUUAGAUCUUCAGGAAGGUCAGCGCCGUGACUUCUGGCACUGCUGGUCCGGGCCGCCAAGAGCCUGA